rnacentral:rRNA from 1 species
CCUACGGGUGGCUGCAGUGGGGAAUAUUGGACAAUGGGGGCAACCCUGAUCCAGCCAUGCCGCGUGUGUGAAGAAGGCCCUCGGGUUGUAAAGCACUUUCAGUGAGGAAGAACGCCUGGUGGUUAAUACCCAUCAGGAAAGACAUCACUCACAGAAGAAGCACCGGCUAACUCCGUGCCAGCAGCCGCGGUAAUACGGAGGGUGCGAGCGUUAAUCGGAAUUACUGGGCGUAAAGCGCGCGUAGGUGGCUUGAUAAGCCGGUUGUGAAAGCCCCGUGCUCAACCUGGGAACGGCAUCCGGAACUGUCAAGCUAGAGUGCAGGAGAGGAAGGUAGAAUUCCCGGUGUAGCGGUGAAAUGCGUAGAGAUCGGGAGGAAUACCAGUGGCGAAGGCGGCCUUCUGGACUGACACUGACACUGAGGUGCGAAAGCGUGGGUAGCAAACAGGAUUAGAUACCCGAGUAGUC